UGCAGCAGGCGCGAAAACUUUACAAUGCUGGGAACAGCGAUAAGGGAACCUCGAGUGCCAGGUUACAAAUCUGGCUGUCGUGAUGCCUAAAAAGCAUUAUAUAGCAAGGGCCGGGCAAGACCG
rnacentral:rRNA from 1 species